AUUGAACGCUGGCGGCAGGCCUAACACAUGCAAGUCGAGCGGUAGCACAGGGAGCUUGCUCCUGGGUGACGAGCGGCGGACGGGUGAGUAAUGUCUGGGAAACUGCCUGAUGGAGGGGGAUAACUACUGGAAACGGUAGCUAAUACCGCAUAACGUCGCAAGACCAAAGAGGGGGACCUUCGGGCCUCUUGCCAUCAGAUGUGCCCAGAUGGGAUUAGCUAGUAGGUGGGGUAACGGCUCACCUAGGCGACGAUCCCUAGCUGGUCUGAGAGGAUGACCAGCCACACUGGAACUGAGACACGGUCCAGAUUCCUACGGGAGGCAGCAGUGGGGAAUAUUGCACAAUGGGCGCAAGCCUGAUGCAGCCAUGCCGCGUGUAUGAAGAAGGCCUUCGGGUUGUAAAGUACUUUCAGCGGGGAGGAAGGUGUUGAGGUUAAUAACCUCAGCAAUUGACGUUACCCGCAGAAGAAGCACCGGCUAACUCCGUGCCAGCCGCCGCUGUAA
rnacentral:rRNA from 1 species